AUGGCGCCGCCUCUCCGAAACCCCACCCCCACCCCCACCCCCACCCCCACCACACAUGGCGNNNNNNNNNNNNNNNNNNNNNNNNNNNNNNNNNNNNNNNNNNNNNNNNNNNNNNNNNNNNNNNNNNNNNNNNNCUUCGACCCCGUCGAGGAGUGGCUCCUCGACGACUUCGAUUUCGACCAGGCCAUGGCGAGCGAGCUGGCCAAGAGCUUCGGCCUCGGCGAGGCGGCCGCUGGUCCGGGUGGGAUUGAUUUUGCGUCCGGCAGCGGCGGGUUGGGCUUGGACCAAAUCGUCAAGUUGGGGGAGGGGGAGGUCGCGGCGGAGGAGAAGGGCGGGCCGCCCGGCCUGCUCGACGCUCCUCGCGGCGUCCUGUUGGAGGUCAAGAAGGAGGCCGUGAUGCUGCUGGGAGGUGGAUUGGGCGGGGAGCUUGGCCCGGGCCAGGCUCCUGUGUUGGGGAUUGGCGAUUUCGUUGCAGAAGGGGAUAGUUUGGAGGCAGCGAUUGAUGCCGAUAUGUGUACCAUAGCUGCUGGUGAUGCUGAUGCUAGUACCGUAGCUGCCGUUCAUGCUGCGGUUAGCACCGUUGCUCCUGUUGAUGCUGAGAUGAGUGCAGUAGCUGCUGUUGCUGCUGACAAUAGUACCAUGUCUGCUGUUGACGCUGACACUAGUGCCGUAGCUGCUGUUCAUGCCGAGACUAGUACCGGGGCUUCUGUUGACGCUGAGAUGAGCGCCGUAGGUGCUGUUGAUGCUGAUACUAGUACCGUAGCUGCUGUUGAUGCUGAUACUAGUACCAUUGCUUCUGUUGAUGCUGAGAUGAGUUCUGGGACCAUGGUAAAUGAGGAGGUGGAGCGUGGAGGAGGCAAGUGGGAGGAGGAAAGCAAGGACAAAGAGUCGGAGAGCAGCGAGGAUGAGGAAUUAAGUGAAGCCUCAUCGAGCAGUGAUGAUGAUGAGGAGGAGCCGGCCAAAAAUGAUGAGGAGUCAAGUGAAGCCUCGUUGAGCAGUGAUGACGAAGUGCCGGUGGCCAAAAAGCAUAGUGGUCCCAGUGACAUGGAGGCCCUCCUUGAAGAGGGUGAGCUGAUGGUUGGAGUCGACGAUGGGGAUGAUGACGAAACACCAAAGGGUCCUAUCAAGUCCAAACAUGAAGUAGAGGUACUUCCUCCAGUUCCAAACAUUGAAGUGCAGUUGGAACCGCAUCAUAAGGCACUUCCAGUGGGAACAAUUACAGCUAUCAUGGGGGAGAGAGUGAUUGUUGAAGGAUCAGUGGAACACAGUCCCCUGACUGAGGGUUCUAUACUCUGGAUAACUGAGAGCAGGACACCACUUGGCAUUGUUGAUGAAAUAUUUGGACCUGUAAAAAACCCUUACUAUCUUGUGCGGUAUAAUUCCGCGGAAGAAGUGCCUGCUGGGAUCAGUGCAGGAACUACUGUCUGUUUUGUUGCGGAGUUUGCAGAUCAUAUCCUAAAUAUGAAAGAGCUAUAUGCCAAAGGCUAUGAUGAAUCUGCUGACCAUGAUGAGGAGGCAGAUGAACCUGAAUUCUCUGAUGAUGAGCAGGAGGCUGAGUACAAAAGAUCACUACGACUGGUAAAAAGGCAGACUGAUAGGCCGCAUGAUUCUAAGAAACCUUCUGGUGACAAGAAGAGGGUGCAGACCAGGGGUGCUGGAUUUCGAAAUGACAUGCCACCGAGGACCCACGAUACACCGACAUCUGGUCACCAGUCACAGCGUCGUUUCCACCGCUCGGAUAUGGCUGACAGUGUGACACAUCAGUUGGGUCAACAAAAUUAUCCGAUGAGUACACCAAGGGACAUGUCACCUAGAAUCCAUGAUGCAUCAACACCAGAUCGCCGACCACAGCCUCGAUUUCACCGGUCUGAUAUGGCAACUGCUGUUGCUGACAGCACAACGCGACAAACGGGUCCUCAAAACUUUCCUAUGAGUGCACCAACAAUGCUGCCGUCAAUCUCAAUGAAUCAUGCUAUGCCAUCACCUGUUCAACUUGCAAAUCAGAUGGGCAGUUGCUUCAUCAACCCACAGCAGUUCUCUCAGCAGCCAAAUAUGGUUUGGCCUGGCGGGCUUCCACCUCCAGGGCAGCCAAACAUGGGAGUUGAUGGAGCUGCUCUUGCAGCUAAUAUUAUGCAGAAUAUACUUAUGGGAGCCAACCAGUUCCAGCAGUAUUUACAGAAUCAGAACUUUGGUGGCUUCCCAAAUGGAAUGCCCAUGGCCCAACAACAAUUUAUGCCAGGGAGCACAAUGAGUGCAAACAUGAUGCCAUUUGGUGGACCGCCAGUAAAUCAUCCUUUUGGCCAGGCAUCUCAAUUUCCUAUGGGGCAAGGCAACUUUGGUCAGUUUCCACACAUGGCUAACCAAGGGCCGCCUGCUGGAUUUCCCAACACCCAAGGAUUUGGGCGCUUCCCAUCACAACAUGAAGAUGGAGAUCAGCCUCCUGGAAAUGCAAACAUGCAAGGACAUGGGCGCCUCCCAUCACCACACGGAGAUGGAGGCCAGCCUCCUAUGCAGUUCAAUUCCCUACCAUCACCGCACGGAGAUGGAGGCCAGCCUCCUAUGCAGUUCAAUUCCCUACCAUCACCCCAUGGAGAUGGAGGUCAGCCUCCUAUGCAGUUCAAUUCGCUACCUUCACCUCGUGGAGAUGGAGGUCAGCCUCCUAUGCAAUUCAAUUCUGGGCACUUUAAUCAGGGGAACUCAUCUUUCCGUGGUAGAAGACCACAACAACGUGGAGGCCGACAUUCACCAGGGAGAGGUGGUGGUAGCGGACGGCAUCGCAAGUAG
rnacentral:rRNA from 1 species